UGUUUCUACGGGGGGCAGCAGUGAGGAAUAUUGGUCAAUGGUCGGGAGACUGAACCAGCCAAGCCGCGUGAGGGAUGAAGGUACAGAGUAUCGUAAACCUCUUUUGUCAGGGAACAAAGGCGGGGACGUGUCCCCGGAUGAGUGUACCUGAAGAAAAAGCAUCGGCUAACUCCGUGCCAGCCGCCGCGGUAAUACGGAGGAUGCGCGCGUUAUCCGGAUUUCUUGGGUUUAAAGGGUGCGCCGUCGGUCUGUUAAGUCAGCGGUC
rnacentral:rRNA from 1 species